GCGCCCAUAGCUCAGCUGGAUAGAGCGACUGGCUUCGAACCAGUAGGCCGCAGGUUCAAGUCCUGCUGGGCGCA
rnacentral:tRNA from 1 species